rnacentral:rRNA from 1 species
GAUGAACGCUGGCGGCGUGCCUAAUACAUGCAAGUCGAGCGAACGGACGAGAAGCUUGCUUCUCUGAUGUUAGCGGCGGACGGGUGAGUAACACGUGGAUAACCUGCCUAUAAGACUGGGAUAACUUCGGGAAACCGGAGCUAAUACCGGAUAAUAUUUUGAACCGCAUGGUUCAAAAGUGAAAGACGGUCUUGCUGUCUCUUAUAGAUGGAUCCGCGCUGCAUUAGCUAGUUGGUAAGGUAACGGCUUACCAAGGCAACGAUGCAUAGCCGACCUGAGAGGGUGAUCGGCCACACUGGAACUGAGACACGGUCCAGACUCCUACGGGAGGCAGCAGUAGGGAAUCUUCCGCAAUGGGCGAAAGCCUGACGGAGCAACGCCGCGUGAGUGAUGAAGGUCUUCGGAUCGUAAAACUCUGUUAUUAGGGAAGAACAUAUGUGUAAGUAACUGUGCACAUCUUGACGGUACCUAAUCAGAAAGCCACGGCUAACUACGUG